UUGAAAGUAUUAGUAAUGUUUUUGGAUUUGUUUUGUUUGUGAGCAAAUUUUUUGUGGCAAUUCUAACUUGCUUAGUUGGUAUUAAACUUCUAAAGGACAGAAAAGAUUAUUUGUUCAAUGAGAUCAGAAAUGAGUUCUUCUUUUACACUGCACCAGUGCUAUUUAGUACAUUGUGUGCUUUUUGCAUUGCUCAUAUUGUUUUUUUGGUGUUUGAAAUGACUGUUGAUACACUUUUACUGUGCGCAAGUGAGGAUCAUCAGAAGAAUGGAAGAUUGAAGGGUUUUAUUAUGAAAUUUCAUCUUAAUAAGCAUUUUGAAAGCAGUGGAUAAGAUGAUCCUUUUACCUAUUUUACUAAUAAAGAUAACUUUAAAAGGAAA